rnacentral:rRNA from 1 species
ACACGACUACAUUAGACUACCCGUGUAGUCCCAGCCCUAAACGAUGCGCGUUAGGUGUAUCGGUGACCACGAGUCACUGAGGUGCCGAAGGGAAACCGUGAAACGCACCGCCGUGGGGAGUACGGUCGCAAGGCUGAAAACUUAAAGGAAUUGGCGGGGGAGCACCACAACGGGUGGAGCCUGCGGUUUAAUCGGACUCAACGCCGGGAAUCUCACCGGAUAAGACGGCUGAAUGAUAGUCGGGAUGAAGACUCUACUUGACUAGCUG